rnacentral:rRNA from 1 species
CUAGUGACCGAUAGUGAACCAGUACCGUGAGGGAAAGGUGAAAAGCACCCCGGAAGGGGAGUGAAAUAGAACCUGAAACCGUGUGCUUACAAGUAGUCAGAGCCCGUUAAUGGGUGAUGGCGUGCCUUUUGUAGAAUGAACCGGCGAGUUACGAUUUGAUGCAAGGUUAAGCAGUAAAUGUGGAGCCGUAGCGAAAGCGAGUCUGAAUAGGGCGUUUAGUAUUUGGUCGUAGACCCGAAACCAGGUGAUCUACCCUUGGUCAGGUUGAAGUUCAGGUAACACUGAAUGGAGGACCGAACCGACUUACGUUGAAAAGUGAGCGGAUGAACUGAGGGUAGCGGAGAAAUUCCAAUCGAACCUGGAGAUAGCUGGUUCUCUCCGAAAUAGCUUUAGGGCUAGCCUCAAGUGAUGAUUAUUGGAGGUAGAGCACUGUUUGGACGAGGGGCCCCUCUCGGGUUACCGAAUUCAGACAAACUCCGAAUGCCAAUUAAUUUAACUUGGGAGUC